GAAGCUGGGGCUGGGUGAGAAAAGAACUUGGGAAAAACCCCAGCACUCUGAUCUCCAGUGAAUCACAGUGGCUCCCGCGCGCCCAGGCGUCUGUCGAACUCCCCGGGUAGCUGCUCCUGAAGCUGGGGUGCAUUCGGUUACAGUUCACCCAGAGUAAGGAGGAGUGAGCGAGGGGGGCCGUCGCAGAGGGAGCCGGGACGCCUCCUGGGACACGGGCUCGUCCUCCCCCACGUCACACGGUGACAACUUCGUGCUGCCACCAGGGCCCAGCAGGGAGAUUUCAACGUCCAGAACAAGACAGGGACAGCGCGGCCGGCAGAAAGCAACGCAAACACAGGUGCAUUUCUCUCUUCAUCCAAAGCAAAUAAGACAAAAGGAGUCGGGCAACUGUUUCCUAGGUGAGAGGGCAGAGCGAGGCGACCACGCAGGGUGUGAAGCCACCCCGGAGAGCCGAAGCCCUUCCGCUGUGCGCAAGACGAGAAAUACCCGGAUGUCAAAACCCAAAGAUGAUUACAUGUGUGCCCCCCAUACACUGCUGCAGGAGUCUACAAAGAAUUCAGGGCCCGGAUGCAGACAUGAUUGAAAUACCAACAUCCUCUAUGAUGGUCGUGUGGCACUCAGGGGAAAUCGAUUUUGGUUUUAAAAAUAACAACCAAGAAGAGUAAAGGACGCUUCGCCCUCUGUCGCAGGUGUGUCCCCGCAGGAUUUCGCAGAGGUUGAACAUGGGGCAGCUGGUGGGGGGCCCACAGGGAAACCACUCCUACCUGCUGCCCAAACUGGCUAUGAACUAAAGCCGACCUAGAAAUAAAGCUUAGAUUUAAAAGCCAACGCAUUAAAAUCAAAGUGCGCCCCCGGGGGCGGGGGCUGCGUACUUCCUCAGGGCACUCCGGCCCAGGCGGCUCUCC